UGUAGGAUUUUGAGUUAUGUUAUGUUCUCUGGCAUUUGAUUCAAGUGACCUCAGCAGCCAAGCAGGGUGAAGUUGGAGCAAAAAUUAUCCAAAGUUAUCCAAAACAGCUCCACCAAUACUCACUGAUGUAAAGUCAAAUACUGAAAGUUCAGGCCAACAGGAUCCUGUUUCACUGUUUGCAGAGGUGAAGGGGAAGGCCAAAGUCCUCCUUCUGUAGCUGGGAUAGAGGGCUUACCUUGGGAAGGGGAUCUCCACACCAUAGCAACACAGGAAACUCGUGCUAUUUUGAAAAUGAAAAUUGUCUCAAAUUCAUCAUUAUAAUUUACCUGCUGCAUGUACAACUUUAAUAUUUAAUAUUUCUAAGCUCACUGGUGACUGUAAUACACUGAAAAAUGUUUAGACAAAACUCUCCUGCAAGAAAAGGAGAUACCAUCCACUUUCUACACUGCACUGAAAGCACAGAUAUAGGAAUUGUUCAGUGAAGCUGGUGGUCAUAAACGAGAACAACUGUAACAACACCAACAAAGACACAGACUGCUGUCUCUUGUGUGCUGUAUGGCUGUGCUAGCAGCCACAAGUCUGAAAUGUACCUCAGCAUCUCCAGUGUUUUCAAGCAGCCUUAUUGGCCUGAUAAGGAGGAAUGUCAGGAUUUCUCUCUGGGAGGUCCCGGCGCUGGGGGGAGAAGAUGGCACCCGUGGGGCCUUUCGGGAGCCCGGUUGCAGCGAGAGGAUUUCGUGGUGCGGCUGUGGAUACAGGACGGAUCGUGUGGUUACGGCAGCGGAGGAGGAGCCAGAGCCGGCACCGGGCUGCUGCUGUGCCGGGCGUGGUUGAGCACAUCGCCGUCUCGGCGUGUUGGAGGGGCUGUGCGGGCACAUGGGCUCGCUCUGAUUCCUGCUGUUCCACAGCUUUGCCACAAUGAAGGAAGUUCCAGCGAAUGAAGAUUCUGAACCAUCAGUAUGUGAGAGAAAUGGCAUGAUUCCCAUGCGUGAGAAAAGUGAGGAGGGGUCGACAGUAGAUGCCAAAGGUACUGAUGGGAAUAUACAAACAGAAGAAACUGCUCUCUUGAAUCACUCAGCUCAGCAGCCUCCAGAGCCGAUAUCAGAGUCUUCAACACCUGCAGGAACACGGAGGCAAAUAUUUGCUUGUCCUCCUCAGGGUUUACUGUCUCAAAUAGUAACAAAUGUUGCAGCUGUGGUCCUGAUAUGGGCUGUGGUUUGGUCCAUCACUGGGCCUGAAUGUCUCCCAGGUGGAAACCUGUUUGGAAUUUUAUGUCUUUAUUUUUUUGCUGUCAUUGGAGGUAAAAUUUUUGGACUGAUUAAAAUAGGAACACUGCCGCCCCUCCCUGCUCUUCUGGGGAUGCUACUUGCUGGUUUUCUCAUCCGAAAUACCCCAUUUGUUAGUGACAUCAUCCAGAUAAAUCCACGCUGGUCUGCAGCACUGAGGAAUAUUGCUCUUUCAAUUAUCCUGACCCGGGCAGGACUUGGUCUGGACCCAAAGGCUCUUAAGAAGCUCAAAGCAGUCUGCUUACGGCUUUCUUUUGGACCAUGCCUCUCAGAAACAUGCACAGCUGCUGUUUUUGCCGUUUUGCUCAUGCGUUUGCCAUGGCAGUGGGGAUUUAUAUUAGGUUUUGUUCUAGGUGCAGUAUCUCCUGCUGUUGUGGUUCCCUCCAUGCUGAUCUUACAAGCUGGGGGAUAUGGUGUAGAGAAAGGUGUCCCAACUUUGCUGAUGGCAGCUGGAAGCAUUGACGACAUUCUGGCUAUUACAGGCUUCAACACUUGCCUUGGGAUGGCUUUCUCUUCUGGUUCCACUCUGUACAAUGUGCUCCAAGGAGUGCUGGAGGUUGCUGUUGGCAUAGCAGCUGGUGGGAUUCUGGGGAUGUUUGUUCGGUAUUUCCCAAGCCACGAUCAGGCAUCUCUUCCAUGGAAGAGAUCGUAUUUUGUACUUGGGCUGUCCAUGUUUGCUGUUUUUGGCAGCGUCUACUUCGGCUUCCCUGGAUCAGGAGGGCUCUGCACAUUAGUCUUAGCUUUUAUUGCUGGCGUGGGAUGGUCUGAUGAAAAGAGGGAAGUAGAAAAAAUUGUUGCUGUUGCUUGGAAUAUCUUUCAGCCUUUUCUUUUUGGUUUGAUUGGAGCAGAAGUAUCUGUUACAUCUCUCAGGCCUGAAACUGUUGGGCUCUGUGUUGCUACACUAGGUAUUGCCCUAGUUGUGCGAAUCAUUGCAACCUUCCUGAUGGUGUGUUUUGCUGGCUUUAAUUUCAAGGAGAAAGUAUUUGUCUCAUUGGCGUGGAUUCCCAAAGCCACUGUCCAGGCUGCAAUAGGUUCCCUUGCCUUGGAUACAGCAAGAAGUCAUCAGAACCAGCAGCUGGAAAAGUAUGGAAUGGAUGUACUAACAGUAGCUUUCUUGGCUAUCUUGAUCACUGCUCCCAUUGGAGCCUUGGUUAUUGGCUUGGCAGGGCCCAGACUUUUGCAGAAGGCUCAGACAAAACACGAGGAAAAUGAGGAAGGAGCUGAGGCUGGAGAAGAGCCAGAGGACUGUGAGCCUUCGUAAGACAGGCACAUACAGGAAUGUGGUCCUUCAGCCCUUAAACUUCUGUUAAGUAAACAUUUUGUGUCUGUAAUCUUUCUGGACAAAGCCAAAACUAGUAUUGGAUAUACUGCUAUUUUAAAAGCAGAUCCGGUGGAGUUUUACAAAAUAUUUUUAUGUGUUGAUGGUGCCUUAAGAGAUGAACUAGGUAAACAUGCAGCAAAUAGGCUGACUGGGCAGUGAGUCACUCUGAAGUUAGCAGUCAUCAGUUACUAAGAGCACGUGGGUGUGAGGCCAGGGAGAGGAUCAGAAUUGUUCAGGCAUCCAGUGGGUGAUGAGGUGGACUUACAGAAGAAAAUGGAGACUGAUGUGAUGCUUCUUGAUGGUUAAAACUGGGCUGUAAAAUGACAAGUUCAACAGCUCAAAGAAUGCAACUACUGAAUUAGGACUAUUGGCGUACAGCAAACAAAUCCUGCCACAGUCUGAUGGUUCCCUUCCUCACUCGGCUUUGAAAACCUGCCUUUUUCCACUGCUGUUCUUUCAGAUCUCACACAUACUUUGUACCUUCAAGGGACUGUCAGCUCUGGUCAUGGCAAGAAGCAGCAAGCAGUACUUACGUGCUGAAAGAGAUGGACCCAUCUGGGCUGUGGUAACAAAGGAGUACCCAAUAAAAAGGACCAGGUUUGAAAAAAGGAUGAAGGAGCCUGUAAGGACUGAGAGAACGUUAUAUAGGAUUGGGAUGGCUGCUUCUUGGCAUGUGUACUUUGGCCUUCAUGCAACUCAAUGUCAAGCAAGGGAAAGCCAGCUUGUCAGCUGCUGGGGGUGUGUGCUCUAGGACAGGGGAGCUCCCCUCUGAUGGGACUUGCUGGUGUGGCAAUGCCAAGGUAGCAACCAGUUGUUCCUUUCUUCCUCAGCUCCUUUUGGGAAACCUGACAGUAGUGACAGACCUCAAAUCAGGAUUUAUGGGUCAACAGGGAACACACAGUCUUCAGUCAGUGCUUGUUCCCUGACAAGAGAAGAAGGUGCUCUCAAACCGUACAGACUGGUGAACAGUUCCAGUGCUGCAGAAAUGGUUACUGUUGGACUUCUGUGUCCCUGCUGCCUACUGGGCAUGGCUUAUUGAGGUACAGACACCUGGCUUCCGUGGACUCCUGAAAUCAGAGAGGAUGAUAGAGGCUCCAGUAUCCUCCUUCAAUUUGGGAUGCAUUUUGCUGCCCUUCUCAGACUGAUGUGACGUGAAUCCAUUACACAGCUAUUUCUACCUGGCAGGUAGGUGAAACCGAACACUUACUUUGAUAAGAAAAGCAGAACAGUUCUUUGUUUGAAAUUUCUACAUCCAAAACACUACAGCCGGUGUUAAGCUUUUGCUUACUUCAGUUUUGCAGCUGUACUUCUGCAAGCAGCACUUGAAGAAAAUGAAGGGAUUUUUUAAUGCCAAGAGUAUGAAAACUACCUUACAAUAAUGCACAAUCCCCUUGUUAGGGCUCUUUGCUGCUCCAAAACCACCACGAAGAUGGGGAUUCACCUUGACUUUAACUGAGCCCACGUGAGGCAGUUUUCCCUUCACAGAUUUGCUUUGAAAUGCAAGGAAAUAGUAAAAAGAAGACAGACAUCUAUCUUGCUUACAGUCCUGUAGAAAUUACUGAGAUGUCCCUUCUAAAAGGAACUGUGAGCCCUAUUGUUCCCACACUAUACUUUAGAUACAUUCCAAUUCCAUUGAGACAUAAGCAAAACCAAACCAAAAACCAUGCGUUUUUGUAGCCACAAUUGCAGGCAGUUUAGCAGUAGUUUCAUCAAACAGAAAGCAGGGGGGGAAAUAAUUACAUAGUCAGAUUGUGUAAAAGGUGGAGUCAAGAAGCUAAACAUUACAUUGCCAUUCUUUUUAAAGGAGAUUUGUGGGAGAAAAAUCACUUCUGCUGUACCACUUACCUUAACAGCAUUUGUCAAAGUGGAACAAGAGAAAAGAUGAUUGAUGUACACAGAAAGAAAUGAAAUUAUUUGAAUGUGAGAAUGUCCUGAUAGAAGCUGGAAGUACAUAAAGAUUUGUAUAUAAUAAUUGACUACUGUAAUGGGCCAUGAAUUUGGUUUUAUUUCACCUAGCACUUUUUCCAUGGAACCCCAGAAUUAAACUUAACAUUCAGUGUAUUGCAUCUAAGAGUGAAAACAGAGCACAGUACAAGACAUUUGCAUUACUGUUCUUUCUUUGUAAGUGUUAGAUCCUAAUACAAUAGUGUUUACAGGCUGCUUUCAUUCAUUAGGAUAGGGUUCCCAUGAAACAUUUAAAUAAAGAUAGACUGUACUGUGCUUUCAGUACACUUUGUAAAAGCAGUAAUUUAACCCACAGUCACAUCCUAAUCUGCCACUGUUUGUUGUGUUAAGAGCUUUAAGCACCUACAACCACACCUGUUAAAAACAGGUACUGUCUAUUAGUUCCACUGCUGCUUUGACAUCCAUUAUGUGAGAACUGCUUCCUGACUCACUUUCUGUUUCAGCACUGGGAUGAUAAAUUGUGGAAAACAGUGUGCUGCUCUGGGGCUUCCCCCUCCUUAAGAACAGCUCAAAUGAAAUGCUUGUUAAAGAAUAGUCAACAUCUUCCCUUCAGACAAUUGUCUAAAAUUGGGGCAUGGAUCUAAAGUUCUACUUUUAAACAAACAGUCUUUCAUUAAAGAAUAAAGCACUUUAGAGGAAUUAAUGUGGAGUCUAACAGCUGAAUAAGUAGCAAUUACUUACCUAUACCUGAAGUUAAGCCGUACCACAGCAAAGUUCUGACUUGCCCUCAUAAUCAUUCUGAGUCAGUAACAAGCCAAGAACACAGUUCUACUUCACUUUUUAGGUUGUGUCAUUUAGCCAACCCCUCUUAUGAAUGUCCCUGCUAAAAGAAAUAACAUCUGCAGUGCAAGUGAACUUUCAAAAGCAAAUUUGUUUCCUUACACACACAUGAAUGAUGAACGGGGGCCCAGAAUAAAUGGCCAACAUUCCUUGUUGACCUGCUUACCUAGAAAUAGUGACAUUUCUGUUACUGCAUGCUCACAAAAAGGGCUUCACUGUAGGAAGUCAUUUUAUUGUUGAAAUAAAUGACUUAUUUACAGAAAUAGUUACUUUACAGUUUUACAAAGCAGUCAUAAUAAUUCUUAUAAAGUAUCAAAACAGUGACAGAUCUAGCACUGUCUAAAUGGAGUUUAUCCAAAAAAUAAAAAUCUACAGCAAUCAUUGGACUAAAUCAUACCAAUCAUAGAAUAAUAAAACGCUGCUCCUUGCAACUACCAUGAUAUAAAAGACUCAUCCAUCAUGAUCAAGUGGAUUAAGUAUUUGCUAUACUUCUUUCUUCUUGAGUAUUAGUGGUCCUACGUUAUCUCCCGUUAAUUCAUUGUGCUUGUUAUGAGAGCCAUCGCAGACAGGGAACUAGAAGAAAACAAAUGUGAGAGAUUAGUACACCUCUGUACAGCAAUUCCACAGUGAUUUUCAGUUCUUCCUUUGCUGAGAAUAAUUAUCAAAGCUGAUAGCUCCUCCCACUAUGCCCCAUUCCAACAAACUCCCUUCCCCAUCAGACCUGUGACAUUACUAGCCUAAAAGAAAAAAGAAGCCUCCCCCCCCCCCCCAAUUCCUAA